CUAAAAGAAACCAAUAAUACUUUGGAACAAGAAGUUGAACUGCUACGAAAGAAAUGUUUUCAACUUCAAGAUGCUGAGGUACAAGAAAACGAUGUGGUCAAUAAUGAACCAUAUGCAUACCAGGAUACUUACUCUUAUGACUAUUCAGUAACAGAUUUUGAUAGCAGGAUUCCACAUGACAGCAACAAUAAUGAUUAUAGUAAAUAAACUGUCACAGAAAUAAUCAUUUUGAUUAAUAAUGUUUUUAGGUCUUGAUAAUGUAGUUACCUAAUGGGAGGCUGUAACAAAAAUGCAGAAAAAUUUUGCCCCAAAAAAAAGAAGUGUUCGCCGCUUCAUCUACAGAGCACUAAUGAAACUGCAUAUAUCUGUAUAACUGAAUACACCAAGCAUGAAAUCAUACUUUUUGGUGAUACAUCAGCUAUUAUUAUUAUAGCUGGUAAGACAUUCCACGAUACAUGCAUGACUUGUA